UACGUAGGGUGCGAGCGUUAAUCGGAAUUACUGGGCGUAAAGCGUGCGCAGGCUGUUUUGUAAGUCAGAUGUGAAAUCCCUGGGCUCAACCUAGGAACUGCGUUUGAAACUACAAGGCUAGAGUGUAGCAGAGGGGGGUAGAAUUCCACGUGUAGCAGUGAAAUGCGUAGAGAUGUGGAGGAAUACCGAUGGCGAAGGCAGCCCCCUGGGUCAAUACUGACGCUCAGGUGCGAAAGCCAGGGGAGCGAACGGG
rnacentral:rRNA from 1 species